rnacentral:rRNA from 1 species
GCCCGGAUGUAACACAGCAACACCCUGCUCGCCAAAUAACUACGAGUGAAAACUUAAAACUUAAAGGACUUGACGGUACUUCACACCCAACCUAGAGGAGCCUGUCUAUUAACCGAUAAUCCACGAUUAACCCGACCGCUUCUAGCCACCCAGCCUAUAUACCACCGUCGCCAGCCUACCUUGUAAAAGAAACAAAGUAAGCUAAACAGUACUACACUAACACGACAGGUCAAGGUGUAACUAAUGAAACGGAUUAAGAUGGGCUACAUUCUCUAACCCAGAUCACACGAACAAGAUUAUGAAACUAAUCUUUAAAGGCGGAUUUAGCAGUAAGCUGAGAACAAAAUACUCACCUGAAACCAAUGCAAUGAAGUGCGU